rnacentral:lncRNA from 1 species
UAAACUUAAAUAUUACAUUGCCCUUAGUGUAAUACUUGAAUACUUUCCUGGGGAUUUUAAUCAUCAUCUCCCGACAGAUCCUCACUGUCGGUCUCAUCCUCUGUCUCAAAAUUUACAUUAGGGAACACUAGUGAUGGUGGGAAAUGGAUAGGAUUUUCAUUGGCCAUGUUAAAGCAAUUAGCGAAGCUUGUGACAAUCGCAUUUGUGUACUCCAUGAAAGUAUACACUCGUCCUGCUUUAUCAUCCACUCUGCUUGUUUGCUGGCGAGACAAACUCAGUAACUGCUCCUGACCUCGUCCCAAUCUGUCUGCAAUGCCACACAAAGCUCUGACCUCUCUGAGCAACAAUUCCAGUGUCACAACAGCUGGAGAAAGUGAUCUUGAUCCUCAUCCCCCUCUCCCGGCAUGGGAUGGUCCUGCAUUUCCAGCUCGUCCUACAGCACGGGGAACCUCAGCCUCAGCAGCAAUAAUAACAUCUCCCUCUCUUAUAUAACCUGCUCCCCGCAUGUCAGGGUAACCUCUAGUCAAUUCCUUAAAAUGAUCGAUGGUGUUGCUUUGUAGAACUACCUUUGGUUGCUUAAAAAUCUCGGUUGGUCCCCAGAUGAGACCAACGUUCUUACACAACCCACAGAUGAGGGAUGGGUGUAGAAGUCCACCGGUGGCUUUGCUUCGCAGUGCCGCUAAGAUCGACCUGUAGGUGAUUCGCCUGAUGUCUAUACUUUUUCUCAUUACAUUGGGGAAUCGUAAAGUUACCCUGGCCUUGAUAACUUCUGAAACAUGGUAAGACGAUAUUAAUUUUGUACUUAAGAAGUAAAACCAAUCCGUACCGUGUUUGCUUAGCGCUCCUCGAGGGAAAGAAAUUGAUUCAUUGCCUCUUGUAGUCUUUUGUGUUCCCGAUUUGCAUAAAGUUUGGAUGACUUCAUCCCAGUCCAAGUGUUCUUUAUUAUAGCGUGUGAACUCGUCAUCCAUUGUGUUUGCGUAAAAAUCUUUUACAAUGGACAUGACAGGGGCCUCAGGUUGCUUAGUCAACUUUCCGUAUCCGCGUUCAUUGAUAAUUAUUCUUAUCCCCAUUCCAUUUGCCUCUUAUAACACCAAUCCAUGCUCCAGAAUUAAGCUUCGUUUGAUAAGAUAGGCGUGGAAGCGUUCCGAAGCGGCUUUACUGAUAAGUAGGUUUUAUACCUACUUAUCCGGUAUCUGUUACUUGAAUUAGUUGCUUAUAUUCAUGUUCUUAGUUACUUUUCAUACAUUUUAUGUUAUUUUAUAGGCUAUGACAUGACAUUGGCAUGAAGAAACAAGGGAAAGCAAUUCGGACAUCUUUUGGACUAAAAUACGCAAGCAAGUGCAAUAAAGGAAUAUUGAAGGACUUUUGACACCAAGUUAGAUGCAUGUUCUUGGCUUGGAACUUGGAUUUUAUGGUAGCUCUACUUCUUAGCUUUUCGAAACAUCUUGAAUCGUCUCAAUCGGAGCUCAGAUGUGAGAGUUAUGGCCUUUUUAUCAACGAAAAUCAAAGCUAAGAGUUGUCAUGUUUUCCAUUUACAUAGCAUCUACUUCAAGCCAGACUUCCGCCUUGAUAAAAUUGGAAUCUGAAAAUCCUCAGAGAAUGAAAGUUAUAGAUCUCGUCGUUAUCUUCGAUUUGAUAGGUGGCAGGUCCCGUAACUCCAAGUGGAUCAAAGGUUAUGUCUGUUUUACCAAAGGACGUCACAACAGAAAACAGCCUAGCGCGGACCGCGCCAGGCCAGCGCUGAUAGUGCUACUACAUCAGUAUUCUAAGCCAACAAACUGGAGAAAUGGCGCUGACUGCGCCAGGACAGCGCUGAGCGCGCUAGGAGGCGAGAUUUGAGUGAAAAUGGGUUAUUUGAUGUCCAAAUUGAGCUAGAAUAGGAUUCUUAGUUGCCUAACUUACUAGGAUGUCCAUUAGAACUCUAAAUACUUGAGUUUAACUUGGAUCGGGAGGCUAGUUCUAAGACUCUAUUAAAACCCUCUUGGGAUAUAUUUCAAUAAUGGAAUUCUUUACUUUCUUUCAUAGAUUAGGAACCCUAGAUUAGAUUAGAAUUGAAGAUUGAAGCUAUUAAUUAUCAUUGGAGAAUCAAAUUGGAAGCAAGAGAAUGCAGAUUUGUUUAUCUCAAUUCUAAUUUCUUUUCUUAAUUAUUUGUAUCUUUUUAAUGCUUAAUCAAUUGUGAAUGAUGGAUUCUAGUUUAUUUAUGAAUUAAACUCUAUUUUGAGAUUACUA